ACAGGUGACAGGAUACUCAGGAGCCAAGAAAUGGAUCUUGGCGUGUAAUGGGAAAUGGUGAGGCGUGGAGGAGGGAGCUGUGCUGCAGGGGUCCUUUGAUGAUGAAGAGGAAAGGACUAGUCAGAGGCUACUAGAAUCACAUGGCUGGAUGCCAGGAGCACCAAGGGCGAGAAGAACUGAAGCAAAGCCGUGGAUCUGAGUGGAGAGGAGGCGCCUAAGCAGGGCAGAGAGAGAACAGUCGGAGACAACAAGCUUUCAAGAGAACAGACAGAGACAAGAAGCUUUCAAGCCCUGACGAGGAGUCAGGAGAAACUGAAUACAGGAAAGAAGCCAGGUUAAAGAAAAGAGUUUCUCUGGGCUUUCCUGUCCUUUUUCUUGCUCUGCGUCUGUGGGGUCCGUCUGCUCAUUUGAAACGCUGGAAACAUCGGGGUUUUGAGCGUGUGGUGCAGAGGUCUUGGCAUGGCAGGAGUCAUUAGGAUGUGCUGCAGCUGGAAUUGAAGACAGCCCACUGUUUUCUAAGGCUUGCUAAGACAGAACAAAACUAAAAGGUAUCGGCUGUAGAACGACACCCUGAGAUUCCUCAUACCCCUGGCCAGCUCUUCCCCAUGAAGGUACAGGAGGAAGGUUAAACAAGUAACAGAGAGACAGGAGGAGUGAAGAGUUAGUGUGAAGUCGCGGUGGACUAGAAGGCUGGGGGCUCUGCGCUCUUGCCCCCCUCCUCUCCCACACGUGCAGGUGCUGCCCACACACCCACGAGAGAAGGCCAGGCAGUAUGAACGCUCUCAGAAUUGUCAACACCCAUGACUGUCUCCAAAUCAUAAACCAGAACCUCAAGAAAGAAUAAAACACUUUUUCCACCUCUGUCAACAUAAAUAGAUACAACUUCGGAAAAGCCUGUUCUUUUCAAGUAAAGUUCACUUAUGGAAAAAAAAUAAAAGUUUGUGAUUUUUUUUUUUAAUGUAUAGAUGAAUAAAUCAUUUGAA